GGUUAACGCUGGCGGCGUGCAUAACACAUGCAAGUCGAACGAUGAAACUUAACUGAUUUCUUCGGAAUGAUUUUAAGUGGAUUAGUGGCGGACGGGUGAGUAACGCGUGAGUAACCUGCCUUGGAGAAGGGGAUAGCCUUUGGAAACGAAGAAUAAUACCCUAUGAUAUGAUAAUAUCUCAUGAUAUUAUCAUCAAAGAUUUAUCGCUCUAAGAUGGACUUGCGUCUGAUUAGUUAGUUGGUGAGGUAACAGCUCACCAAGGCAGCGAUCAGUAGCCGGCUUGAGAGAGUGUACGGCCACAUUGGGACUGAGACACGGCCCAGACUCCUACGGGAGGCAGCAGUGGGGAAUUUUGCACAAUGGGGGAAACCCUGAUGCAGCGACGCCGCGUGAUUUAGAAGGCCUUCGGGUUGUAAAAAUCUUUUGUAUGGGAAGAAAAUGACAGUACCAUACGAAUAAGGACCGGCUAAUUACGUG
rnacentral:rRNA from 1 species